ensembl:lncRNA
AGAGAUUUAUACAUGCGUAUCAAAACAAAUACAAUCCUGUAAUAAUUCCGUACCUAAUAUGAACAUACCCUCUCAAUAGCUGAGUGCUGGACAUAAAGAUCAGUGAGCCAGUGUCGGUGCAUGUUGUUGAUAAUAAAGGUUGUAUCUGGAAUCAUCGCGGCGGGAGGUUCUGGCACAGUGCAGCAUGAUAGAGCUUAUUGAUGCUUUGAGAGCAAGGAUGUAAAAAAAAAUCUAUUAGUGACAAACUCAGGGGCAUGUUAUUAAUGUAGUGAUUCAUAUUUUCUUCUCGAUAUAAAAGUAGAGUUUGGACAGAAAAUAGCUGUGUGGUGUGAAAGUGUUAUGGGCGGAGUCCAGCCCAGUGCUGAGUGAUGUCAUAACGUGUUAUGGGCGGAGUCCAGCCCAGUGCUGAGUGAUGUCAUAACGUGUUAUGGGCGGAGUUCAGCACUGUGCGGCGUGAUGUCAUAAUGUGUUAUGGGCGGAGUUCAGCACUGUGCGGCGUGAUGUCAUAACGUGUUAUGGGCGGAGUCCAGCACUGUGGGGCGUGAUGUCAUAACGUGUUAUGGGCGGAGUCCAGCACUGUGCGGCGUGAUGUCAUAACAUGUUAUGGGCGGAGUUCAGCACUGUGCGGCGUGAUGUCAUAACGUGUUAUGGGCGGAGUCCAGCACUGUGCGGCGUGAUGUCAUAACAUGUUAUGGGCGGAGUCCAGCACUGUGCUGCGUGAUGUCAUUAAAAUGCUAUGGGUGGAGUCCAACACAGCCCUGGUUGACGUCAUUGAAAUGCUAUGGGUGGCGUUGCAUGCGUGUGAUGGGUUGGGUCUGGCACCGCACUAUGGGGUGUGUGUGUGUGUGUGCGUGUGGUUUGGUGUGAUCAAGCUGGUGCUUAAUAAAGGGUGUGUCCUAGGUGGAGCCCGGUUGUGUAAGGGCGCGUUAAGCGUGCCCAUUUCUGUGUUUGACCACACCCUAGCACCCCAGCCAGAAGAGUGUUUUUCCUUUGGUCCAGAGAUUAGCAACAGAUUGUACCAGUGUUUAGUCUCGGGGUGUAUAGAACACAGUCUGUUCUCAAUCUUGUCAGCGUUAACCUCUACCUUGCGUGUGUGUGUGUGUGUGUGUGUGUGUGUGUGUGUGUGUGUGUGUGUGUGUGUGUGUGUGUGUGUGUGUGUGUGUAAGCCACGUUGUAGGCCUACCUACAUGUGGGUCACCGGGUCCCCAUGGGGGG